UACUCCUACGGGAGGCAGCAGUGGGGAAUAUUGCACAAUGGGGGAAACCCUGAUGCAGCCAUGCCGCGUGUGUGAAGAAGGCCUUCGGGUUGUAAAGCUCUUUCAGCGAGGAGGAAAGGUCGGUAGCUAAUAUCUGGUGGGUGUGACGUUACUCGCAGAAGAAGCACCGGCUAACUCCGUGCCAGCAGCCGCGGUAAUA
rnacentral:rRNA from 1 species